rnacentral:rRNA from 1 species
AACGCACCUUGCGCUCCUUGGUAUUCCGAGGAGCAUGCCUGUUUGAGUGUCAUUAAACUCUCAACCCACUUUGAUUUGCUUCAAAGUGGGCUUGGACUGUGGGGGCUUGCUGGUGACCUCGGUCGUCGGCUCCCCUGAAAUGCAUUUGCGGAAUCAGCGACGUGCAUGAAUGGCUUUUUCGGUGUGAUAAUGAUCACCGUUCUCGCUAGCUGCUAUCAGCGUGAAUUUCCGGUUUGGUGUGAUAAAGAUCACCACUCUGGCUAGCUGCUGAUUAAAAACAUUGCUUUCUCUGCCUAUAGCUCUGUCGUGCACUGGUGCGACAACCUUUAAUGAACCUUUGACCUCAAAUCAGGUAGGACUACCCGCUGAACUUAA